rnacentral:rRNA from 1 species
GAUGAACGCUAGCGGCAGGCCUAAUACACGCAAGCUGAACGGUAAAUGUUAUAGCAAUAUAAUAUGAGAGUAGCGUAAGGGUGCGUAACACGUAUGCAAUCUACCCGCAACAGGAGGAUAGCUCCCCGAAAGGGGAAUUAAUACUCCAUAAGAUCACGAGAGGGCAUCUGAUUGUGAUUAAACUCCAAGGGGUUGCGGAUGAGCAUGCGUCUGAUUAGUUAGUUGGUGAGGUAACGGCUCACCAAGACGAUGAUCAGUAGGGGAACGGAGAGGUUGAUGCCCCACACUGGAACUGCGAUACGGGCCAGACUCCUACGGGAGGCAGCAGUAGGGAAUAUUGGUCAAUGGGUGAGAGCCUGAACCAGCCAUGCCGCGUGCAGGAAGAAAGCCUUCUGGGUUGUAAACUGCUUUUGCCAGGGGAUAAAAUACCCAUGCGUGGGGAAUUGAAGGUACCUGGUGAAUAAGCCACGGCUAACUACGUGCCAGCAGCCGCAGUAAAAC